rnacentral:rRNA from 1 species
GAUGAACGCUGGCGGCGUGCCUAAUACAUGCAAGUCGAGCGAACGGACGAGAAGCUUGCUUCUCUGAUGUUAGCGGCGGACGGGUGAGUAACACGUGGAUAACCUACCUAUAAGACUGGGAUAACUUCGGGAAACCGGAGCUAAUACCGGAUAAUAUUUUGAACCGCAUGGUUCAAAAGUGAAAGACGGUCUUGCUGUCACUUAUAGAUGGAUCCGCGCUGCAUUAGCUAGUUGGUAAGGUAACGGCUUACCAAGGCAACGAUGCAUAGCCGACCUGAGAGGGUGAUCGGCCACACUGGAACUGAGACACGGUCCAGACUCCUACGGGAGGCAGCAGUAGGGAAUCUUCCGCAAUGGGCGAAAGCCUGACGGAGCAACGCCGCGUGAGUGAUGAAGAUCUUCGGAUCGUAAAACUCUGUUAUUAGGGAAGAACAUAUGUGUAAGUAACUGUGCACAUCUUGACGGUACCUAAUCAGAAAGCCACGGCUAACUACGUG